UCUAAAUGACUGGAGAGAGAACAGUUUUUCUUUGCUUUUUCGUCAAGCGAUUGUUGUCGCUCUUUACUCCUUGUUCUUUCCUCUACAAAUCUCCUGUAGUCGUCGAGGGCCUUCAUAAUGGCUGUGAAAUUGGCUGCCCACUAUAAAACUCCGUGUUUGAGAGUGCUUUGAAGAUUCUUCGCCUCCUGAUGGAUCAAAGUACGAGCGCUCCCUGUGGAUUCGAUUAUAUGUAGGAAGUGACUGUCUGAUGUAUCUGCACCAGAUCCUGGGGAAAUGAAGUCAGAUGCAAAGGCAGGGUCGUCCAGUGAUGCAACACUGCCGUUCUAUGUGCAACGUCACCGCUAAUUCCCCCGGCGAAAACACAAACACGUGAAGAGA